GAUAAACGCUAGCGGCAGGCUUAAUACAUGCAAGGCGAGGGGGCAGCAAUGUCACCGUCGUACGGGUGCGUAACGCGUAUGCAACCUACCUAUCACUGGGGGAUAGCCCGGGGAAACCCGGAUUAAUACCGCAUAAUACAGGGGGCCCACAUGGGUCUAUUUGUUAAAGAUUUAUCGGUGGUAGAUGGGCAUGCGUUCGA
rnacentral:rRNA from 1 species